rnacentral:misc_RNA from 1 species
UCUCCGUUGGUGAACCAGCGGAGGUAUCAUUAUAGAGUUUUCUAAACUCCCAAACCCAUGUGAACUUACCUAUGUUGCCUCGGUGGGAGCCUACCCUGUACCUACCCUGUAACGGGUUACCCGGGAGCGGCCCCACCGGUGGACCACCAAAACACUGCAUCUUUGCGUCGGAUUUACAAGUUUAAUUGAUUAAAACUUUCAACAACGGAUCUCUUGGUUCUGGCAUCGAUGAAGAACGCAGC